rnacentral:rRNA from 1 species
UGGGGAAUAUUGGACAAUGGGCGCAAGCCUGAUCCAGCCAUGCCGCGUGAAUGACGAAGGCCUUAGGGUUGUAAAGUUCUUUAGCAGGGGAAAAUCAUGAUGGUACCCUGAAAAUAAGCUCCGGCUAACUUCGUGCCAGCAGCCGCGGUAAUACGAAGGGGGCUAGCGUUGUUCGGAUUUACUGGGCGUAAAGCGUACGUAGGUGGCUUGUCAAGUCAGAGGUGAAAGCCCGGAGCUUAACUCCGGAAUUGCCUUUGAAACUGACGAGCUAGAGUGAGUUAGAGGUUAGUGGAAUUCCUAGUGUAGGAGUGAAAUCCGUAGAUAUUAGGAGGAACAUCAAUGGCGAAGGCAGCUAACUGGGACUUGUCUGACACUGAGGUACGAAAGCGUGGGGAUCAAA